CGUUCCCUACGGGAGGCAGCAGUGAGGAAUAUUGGUCAAUGGUCGGGAGACUGAACCAGCCAAGCCGCGUGAGGGAUGAAGGUACAGAGUAUCGUAAACCUCUUUUGUCAGGGAACAAAGGCGGGGACGUGUCCCCGGAUGAGUGUACCUGAAGAAAAAGCAUCGGCUAACUCCGUGCCAGCAGCCGCGGUAAUACGGAGGAUGCGAGCGUUAUCCGGAUUUAUUGGGUUUAAAGGGAGCGUAGGUGGAUUGUUAAGUCAGUUGUGAAAGUUUGCGGCUCAACCGUAAAAUUGCAGUUGAAACUG
rnacentral:rRNA from 1 species